AAGAAGACAUGUCGCUCUUAAAAUUUUUCUGAUUUUUUCAUAGAAAAAGUGAAUUUUCUGUACAUUAUUUGAGUGCACCCUGUUCUUUAAUGCCUGUUUAAGUUCGUGAACAUCCUUUUAUUAAUAAUACGGGCACCAGUACAUAAAGACCACCUAAAAAGAGAUCUUAGAGUCACCCAUCAGUUGUAUAUAUGUUUUUGGCUAUCAUUCUGGUUUACGAGUUGGUCUUUUAUUAUCCGAUUAAAAAUUAUGCCAGAAAUUAUCCAGGGUUACGGAUAUCCAAGGACCACGCUGCCGAAUAUCAACACAGCAACAGAUCUUCAAGUCGCAAAGAAACCAGGCUGCCUUUGGAUGGAAUGGACCAAGGAUCGGUAUGGGUCUGGACACGUCAUAUAGCUCAGGUCGUACCUGAGCUCGGGCGCUGUAUCCAGACGUGCUGCACUCCGGGAGUGAAUGUGCGCCUUUACACAUUUUGCCAUUUUGCUCGGUACAAUCGCGGGUAGGGCCCAGCUGGACUCGAGAGAUGAUCGCAAUCGAAUGGGAACACACAAUUGUAAUUACACAACUACACUUACUUUACCCAUGCAGACGGCUCAUGGAAUGCUAUCACGUGAAAAUCCACCAACGCUCCCAGCUAGUAAGCGUGCGGUUUAAUGUCUCUACUAUCAGGCUCUAAAGACAUGACCGCUGAGUUCGUGUUAGAUUAAUCCGUCGUUUUACUUAGUCUGGGUUCAAUAUCACAGGUGUCACUCUUUUUCUCUAACGCAAAUAAAACUCUAUAAGAAAUGUUUAUA
rnacentral:lncRNA from 1 species